rnacentral:rRNA from 1 species
AGAGUUUGAUCCUGGCUCAGAACGAACGUUGGCGGCGUGCUUAACACAUGCAAGUCGAACGAGAAAGUUUCCUUCGGGAAGCGAGUAAAGUGGCGCACGGGUGAGUAACGCGUAGAUAACCUGUCCAGGUGUAUGGGAUAGCCCUUCGAAAGGGGGAUAAAUACCGUAUACGUUAGUCUGUUAUAAGACAGAUUAAGAAAGGUGGCCUCUAUUUAUAAGCUAUCGCAUUUGGAGGGGUCUGCGUACCAUUAGUUUGUUGGUGGGGUAAUGGCCUACCAAGACUUCGAUGGUUAGCGGGUCUGAGAGGAUGAUCCGUCACACUGGCACUGAAACACGGGCCAGACUCCUACGGGAGGCAGCAGUGAGGAAUAUUGCGCAAUGGGGGAAACCCUGACGCAGCGACGCCGCGUGGGUGAGGAAGGCUUUCGGGUCGUAAAGCCCUGUCAGGUGGGAAGAAAUGUGUAUAGGUUAAUACCUUAUGCACUUGACGGUACCACCAAAGGAAGCACCGGCUAACUCCGUGCCAGCAGCCGCGGUAAUACGGAGGGUGCAAACGUUGUUCGGAAUCACUGGGCGUAAAGGGCGCGCAGGCGGUUUGAUUAGUCAGAUGUGAAAGCCCACGGCUUAACCGUGGAAGUGCAUUUGAAACUGUCAGACUUGAGUACCAGAGGGGGUAGUGGAAUUCCCGGUGUAGAGGUGAAAUUCGUAGAUAUCGGGAGGAAUACCGGUGGCGAAGGCGACUACCUGGCUGGAUACUGACGCUGAGGCGCGAAAGCGUGGGGAGCAAACAGGAUUAGAUACCCUGGUAGUCCACGCCAUAAACGAUGUCAACUAGGUGUAGGGGGUGUUGAUCCCCUCUGUGCCGCAGCUAACGCAUUAAGUUGACCGCCUGGGGAGUACGGUCGCAAGAUUAAAACUCAAAGGAAUUGACGGGGGCCCGCACAAGCGGU